rnacentral:rRNA from 1 species
AUCUAUGCUCGUACUACCUUGGAACCGCCUGAGCCCGUCUGAUCGCAGAAACUAAGCAGGCUUGGGCUUGGCUAGUACUCGGAUGGGAGACCGCGCAGGAAUACCUAGCUUUGUAGGCC